UACGAGAGCCCCGAGCGUUAUCCGGAAUUAUUGGGCGUAAAGGGUGCGUAGGCGGUUCUGUUAGUCGUUUGUUAAAUCCCCGGGCUUAACCCGGAAAUCGCGAACGAAACGGCAGAACUUGAGAGUGUGAGGGGUAUAGGGAACUCAUGGUGUAGGAGUGAAAUCCGUUGAUAUCAUGGGGAACACCAAAAGCGAAGGCACUAUACUGGCACACAUCUGACGCUGAAGCACGAAAGCGUGGGUAGCGAAUGGG
rnacentral:rRNA from 1 species